rnacentral:rRNA from 1 species
UUGGAGGGCAGUCUGGUGCCAGCAGCCGCGGUAAUUCCAGCUCCAAUAGCGUAUAUUAAAGUUGUUGCAGUUAAAAAGCUCGUAGUUGAAUUUCGGGGUUAGCAAGUUGGUCGUGCCAAUGGUAUGUACUGGCUCGCUGAUUCCUCCUUCUCGUAGAACCGUAAUGCCAUUAAUUUAGUGUUGCGGGGAAACAGGACUGUUACUUUGAAAAAAUUAGAGUGUUUAAAGCAGGCUAGCGCCUGAAUACAUUAGCAUGGAAUAAUGAAAUAGGACGUUCGAACCUAUUUUGUUGGUUUCUAGGAUUGACGUAAUGAUUAAUAGGGAUAGUUGGGGGCAUUAGUAUUCAAUUGUCAGAGGUGAAAUUCUUGGAUUUAUUGAAGACUGACUACUGCGAAAGCAUUUGCCAAGGAUGUUUUCAUUAAUCAAGAACGAAAGUUAGGGGAUCGAAGACGAUCAGAUACCGUCGUAGUCUUAACCAUAAACUAUGCCGACUAGGGAUCGGAUGAUGUUAAUUUUUUAAUGACUCAUUCGGCGCCUUACGGGAAAC